AUCUCUGCUCCCUCCCAUGGAACUUUACUGACUGCUGUCUGUCCCGGCCACCGCUAACUCUUAUCUGCCACUAGUCAACAUUGGAGACCAGGUCUUUCUGUGCCUUCUGGACCAUCAUCCUUCACCCCUUUCUCCUAAAUGGCAAGGCCUCUUCAAGGAUUGCCAACUGUCGGCCAAGGAGCUUGAGGGUAAUGACUGUCAAAUGUGCCCUGACGAUGAGGACCAACUGCAUCGCAGAAAUUGAUGACACCCGCAGACAGCAGGACAUAGCCUAAGGAACCAAUGUCCUCAUCCCUGCCUCGCCAUCUCUCCCCUUCUAGUUCCUCUUCUUUAUAAUAAACCAAGGGGAGCAGCCUGAGGGUCCUGGUGACAGCAGGGCACAUCAUCACAUUCCUCCUGUCACUUGUCCUGCAUCCCCUGAUAAAAUCACCCCACCUCCCCUUUUCCCUUCAUCUCCACCAGGGGCAGCCUGUGUAUCCACUCCCUCCUCCCUAAAUAAACCUCCCAUGUGAGACCUGC